AGAUUGAACGCUGGCGGCAUGCCUAACACAUGCAAGUCGAACGGGAGUAGCAAUACUCUAGUGGCGGACGGGUGAGGAAUACGUAGGAAUUUGCCCUUAAGUGGGGGAUAACCCGGGGAAACCCGGAUUAAUACCGCAUGACCUCGAAAGAGCAAAGUGGGGGAUCGCAAGACCUCACGCUUUUGGAGAAGCCUACGUCGGAUUAGCUAGUUGGUGAGGUAAUGGCUCACCAAGGCGACGAUCCGUAACUGGUCUGAGAGGAUGAUCAGUCACACCGGAACUGAGACACGGUCCGACUCCUACGGGAGGCAGCAGUGGGGAAUA
rnacentral:rRNA from 1 species